rnacentral:rRNA from 1 species
CACGUAGGGGGCAAGCGUUGUCCGGAUUUAUUGGGCGUAAAGAGCUCGUAGGCGGUUUUGUUAGUCGGGUGUGAAAACUCUAGGCUCAACCUGGAGACGCCACCCGAUACUGCGAUGACUAGAGUCCGGUAGGGGAGUGUGGAAUUCCUGGUGUAGCGGUGAAAUGCGCAGAUAUCAGGAGGAACACCAACGGCGAAGGCAGCACUCUGGGCCGGAACUGACGCUGAGGAGCGAAAGCGUGGGUAGCGAACAGG